UACGGAGGGUGCAGCAGUUAUCCGGAUUUACUGGGUUUAAAGGGUGUGUAGGCGGGCUUUUAAGUCAGUGGUGAAAUCUCCGGGCUCAACCCGGAAACUGCCAUUGAUACUAUUAGUCUUGAAUUUUGUUGAGGUAGGCGGAAUAAGUCAUGUAGCGGUGAAAUGCUUAGAUAUGACUUAGAACACCAAUUGCGAAGGCAGCUUGCUAAACAAAUAUUGACGCUGAGGCACGAAAGCGUGGGGAUCAAACAGG
rnacentral:rRNA from 1 species